GACGAACGCUGGCGGCGUGCCUAAUACAUGCAAGUAGGACGCAGAUGCGAACGGGUGAGUAACGCGUAGGUCACUGCCUAUUAGAGGGGGAUAACUAAUGGAAACGAUAACUAAUACCGCAUACAUGUAGAUGGAACUGCGUUGUAUUAGCUAGUAGGUAGGGUAAGGGCCUACCUAGGCGACGAUACAUAGCCGGCCUGAGAGGGUGAUCGGCCACACUGGGACUGAGACACGGCCCAGACUCCUACGGGAGGCAGCAGUAGGGAAUCUUCGGCAAUGGGGGGAACCCUGACCGAGCAACGCCGCGUGAGUGAGGAAGGUUUUCGGAUCGUAAAGCUCUGUUGUUAAGGAAGCGGUACUUAACCAGAAAGGGACGGCUAACUACGUGCCAGCAGCCGCGGUAAUAC
rnacentral:rRNA from 1 species